AACCAUGGUGGGGACAAAGGGCUUGCAAUUCUUUGUACCUUUCUCACGCCUGAUAUAAAGUUUCAUUGUCCUUUUGGACAAAAGAGGAAUUUUGUUUCUUCAGGGC
rnacentral:snoRNA from 1 species